ensembl:lncRNA
UAUAUAUAUAUAUAUAUCCGGCUCACGCGCUUACUGAAGAUUUAAGUGUUUGUGUUACGUUGGAUUAAAGCCAUUCAAAUCAAGGGACCAGUAAGAUCUGGUACAGCCUAUAAGACCUUAAUAAUAAACAUAACUUUGCUAAUGGCGGGUUGUGAAUUCUAAACACAUAUCUAAGUAUCUAAAUAUAACAUCAUGGACGUCCCCCCGACAUUCAGAACCACUGUUUUAAAUCAAUCCACCCCUAUCUUUAAUUUAUUGUGCCUAUGAUCAUUCCUGUAGGGCUGUGCGUGGGAUCCGGCAGACUGCUCAUCUGGACUUGAUUUCAUAUCUUCCUGUAACCUUUCUCUAUAAUCAUAUAACACACGCACGUGACAAUCUUACUUUUAUACAUGUCCGCACAUUCGGCCGAACAAUAUCUAUCUCUCUCGCGCACACGAACGAGUGUACUCGCUUCCAAUCGAAGCGAGUGCUUGCAGGGCGAUGUUGCUGGGUGCAAUGGCUUCACUAAGAUUGAUGGAUGUGCUGUCAGCAGGGUGGAGGAUGAAGGAUGGAGCUGAGCCAGCAGGGAACAGGGGCAAGGCGCUGCGUGGCUUUAACCCCACUCUACUACACCACGUCCACAUAUCAAAUCGCUCCACAUGACAAAGUGUGUGUUUCUCGGAAUCACCGAUGUCCCGCACUGUGUGCCCAGCUCAUCAUCCAUUUCUGGCACCGUUUGCAGUACGAGUGUGUGCAUGUGUGUGUACGCUGUCUCCGCAACAUCACUUGGACCCGAGGAAACGAAAACAAGCUGCAUAGCCUCCAGCCGUUCUUCUCGUCGGGUUCUCUGGGUCUCAGGUGGCAUUUCAGGGCAGUUUAUGAGCCUCUGUGCCUAGCGAUGCCACAUUUUCCCACUCUCCCGCUCGUUCUAGCAUCAGUAGAUGUCGUGCAAAAUCCAAAAAGGCUCGAGUGGUCUUUAAAAUCGUAUUUGACACCGUUGUGUGAUGGUCCUCAACAAUGCUGUUUUAAGAAAGGGAGGAAAUUGCGUUUCAAGAUUUCAUUCCAAUUCCACUAAAAGAUGCUCUGCCUUCCUCUACAUUUAUAACCUAAUAUACAAGGUGUCGCAAAAGUCUCCAUACAUAGAGUGCUAUGUACACCAGAACCACGUGGGUUGUGUUCGUCAGUGGACGUUCGUGGACGUUCACUUCCUGGUCUGUUCGCAACUCUUCCAGUCUUUUUGAAUUUGUUAAUAAGUCGAGCAACAGUGUCGUGUGUGUUGAUGUGCUCGCCGUGUUUCCCCGUUAAAGUCCAUCGCAACCUUACGACAGUUUCCCGAUCCAGCCUUGAGGAUGAUUUCAAUACGUUCUUCUUUUGUCAAAGACGUUCUUAAAGGCUGUCUCAGAAAACUAUAUAUAAUAUAAACUAAGUAUGACCAUUUUUGGAAGACAUUUUGCUAAAAAGAGUUCAUUUCCCCUACUGUAUGUACGGAUACUUUUGGAACACCAUGUAUAUAUGGGAAAACUAAAUGCAAUUUGCUAAAAUUGUAAAGAAUUCUAUGUUUACGAUGUGAAAUGAGUUCUCGCUUUGAUUCUGAGCGUCGUCCACAAAAGUCUGUCUCAUCACCUGAAGUAAUAGUCGCUCGCCGGGUUUCAACCCGAGCCCCAUCGUCGUCUCCUCACUCGACUGACCGCUGUUCACGCUAACAUCAGUGAGGAAAUCAUCGCUGCUUCAUCUUUUUAACUAUUAUUUUUUUUUAUUAGCUCAUUGAAACAUUUGAAAAGUUUCUCCGCUGUCGUCUGUACAGAGCGUGUAAGCG